rnacentral:rRNA from 1 species
GAUGAACGCUGGCGGCGUGCCUAAUACAUGCAAGUCGAGCGAACGGACGAGAAGCUUGCUUUUCUGAUGUUAGCGGCGGACGGGUGAGUAACACGUGGAUAACCUACCUAUAAGACUGGGAUAACUUCGGGAAACCGGAGCUAAUACCGGAUAAUAUUUUGAACCGCAUGGUUCAAAAGUGAAAGACGGUCUUGCUGUCACUUAUAGAUGGAUCCGCGCUGCAUUAGCUAGUUGGUAAGGUAACGGCUUACCAAGGCAACGAUGCAUAGCCGACCUGAGAGGGUGAUCGGCCACACUGGAACUGAGACACGGUCCAGACUCCUACGGGAGGCAGCAGUAGGGAAUCUUCCGCAAUGGGCGAAAGCCUGACGGAGCACCGCCGCGUGAGUGAUGAAGGUCUUCGGAUCGUAAAACUCUGUUAUUAGGGAAGAACAUAUGUGUAAGUAACUGUGCACAUCUUGACGGUACCUAAUCAGAAAGCCACGGCUAACUACGUG